rnacentral:misc_RNA from 1 species
GGCUUCUGCGGCUUUGCCUAUGCAUGCAAGUCGAACGCACAGCGAAAGGUGCUUGCACCUUUCAAGUGAGUGGCGAACGGGUGAGUAACACGUGGACAACCUGCCUCAAGGCUGGGGAUAACAUUUGGAAACAGAUGCUAAUACCGAAUAAAACUUAGUGUCGCAUGACACAAAGUUAAAAGGCGCUUCGGCGUCACCUAGAGAUGGAUCCGCGGUGCAUUAGUUAGUUGGUGGGGUAAAGGCCUACCAAGACAAUGAUGCAUAGCCGAGUUGAGAGACUGAUCGGCCACAUUGGGACUGAGACACGGCCCAAACUCCUACGGGAGGCUGCAGUAGGGAAUCUUCCACAAUGGGCGAAAGCCUGAUGGAGCAACGCCGCGUGUGUGAUGAAGGCUUUCGGGUCGUAAAGCACUGUUGUAUGGGAAGAACAGCUAGAAUAGGAAAUGAUUUUAGUUUGACGGUACCAUACCAGAAAGGGACGGCUAAAUACGUGCCAGCAGCCGCGGUAAUACGUAUGUCCCGAGCGUUAUCCGGAUUUAUUGGGCGUAAAGCGAGCGCAGACGGUUUAUUAAGUCUGAUGUGAAAGCCCGGAGCUCAACUCCGGAAUGGCAUUGGAAACUGGUUAACUUGAGUGCAGUAGAGGUAAGUGGAACUCCAUGUGUAGCGGUGGCAUGCGUAGAUAUAUGGAAGAACACCAGUGGCGAAGGCGGCUUACUGGACUGCAACUGACGUUGAGGCUCGAAAGUGUGGGUAGCAAACAGGAUUAGAUACCCUGGUAGUCCACACCGUAAACGAUGAACACUAGGUGUUAGGAGGUUUCCGCCUCUUAGUGCCGAAGCUAACGCAUUAAGUGUUCCGCCUGGGGAGUACGACCGCAAGGUUGAAACUCAAAGGAAUUGACGGGGACCCGCACAAGCGGUGGAGCAUGUGGUUUAAUUUCGAAGCAACGCGAAGAACCUUACCAGGUCUUGACAUCCUUUGAAGCUUUUAGAGAUAGAAGUGUUCUCUUCGGAGACACAGUGACCAGGUGGUGCCUGGUCGUCGUCAGCUCGUGUCGUGAGAUGUUGGGGUUAAGUCCCGCAACGAGCGCCAACCCUUAUUGUUAAGUUGCCAGCAUUCCGAAAUGGCACUCCUAGCCGCAAGACUGCGCUGACCAACCGGAGGCAAGGCCGGCACGACGUCCGAUCCCAUCAUGCCUUAUAUUGACCACCGUGGGG